AAUAAGCGGAGGAAAAGAAACUAACAAGGAUUCCCCUAGUAACUGCGAGUGAAGCGGGAAAAGCUCAAAUUUAAAAUCUGGCGGUCUCCGGCCGUCCGAGUUGUAAUCUAGAGAAGUGUUAUCCGCGCUGGACCGUGUACAAGUCUCCUGGAAUGGAGCGUCAUAGAGGGUGAGAAUCCCGUCUUUGACACGGACUGCCAGGGCUUUGUGAUGCGCUCUCAAAGAGUCGAGUUGUUUGGGAAUGCAGCUCAAAAUGGGUGGUAAAUUCCAUCUAAAGCUAAAUAUUGGCGAGAGACCGAUAGCGAACAAGUACCGUGAGGGAAAGAUGAAAAGAACUUUGGAAAGAGAGUUAAACAGUACGUGAAAUUGCUGAAAGGGAAACGCUUGAAGUCAGUCGCGUUGUCCGGGGAUCAACCUUGCUUUUGCUGGGCGUACUUUCCGGAUGACGGGCCAACAUCAAUUUUGACCGUUGGAUAAAGGCUGGGGGAAUGUGGCAUCCUCGGAUGUGUUAUAGCCCUUGGUCGCAUACAACGGUUGGGAUUGAGGAACUCAGCACGCCGCAAGGCCGGGUACUUGUACCACGUUCGUGCUUAGGAUGUUGGCAUAAUGGCUUUAAUCGACCCGUCUUGAAACACGGACCAAGGAGUCUAACAUGCCUGCGAGUGUUUGGGUGGAAAACCCGAGCGCGUAAUGAAAGUGAAAGUUGAGAUCCCUGUCGCGGGGAGCAUCGACGCCCGGACCAGACCUUUUGUGACGGAUCCGCGGUAGAGCAUGUAUGUUGGGACCCGAAAGAUGGUGAACUAUGCCUGAAUAGGGUGAAGCCAGAGGAAACUCUGGUGGAGGCUCGUAGCGAUUCUGACGUGCAAAUCGAUCGUCAAAUUUGGGUAUAGGGGCGAAAGACUAAUCGAACCAUCUAGUAGCUGGUUCCUGCCGAAGUUUCCCUCAGGAUAGCAGAAACUCAUUUCAGAUUUAUGUGGUAAAGCGAAUGAUUAGAGGCCUUGGGGUUGAAACAACCUUAACCUAUUCUCAAACUUUAAAUAUGUAAGAACGAGCCGUCUCUUGAUUGGACCGCUCGGCGAUUGAGAGUUUCUAGUGGGCCAUU
rnacentral:rRNA from 1 species